rnacentral:tRNA from 3 species
GUGGGCGUAGCUCAAUGGUCGAGCACUGGGUUGUGGUCCCAGGGGUUGAGGGUUCGAGUCCCUUCGCCCACCCCA